UACGGGGGGAGCAAGCGUUGUUCGGAUUUACUGGGCGUAAAGGGCGCGUAGGCGGCGUAACAAGUCACUUGUGAAAUCUCCGGGCUUAACCCGGAGCGGCCAAGUGAUACUGUUGUGCUAGAGUGCGGAAGGGGCUACUGGAAUUCUCGGUGUAGCGGUGAAAUGCGUAGAUAUCGAGAGGAACACCAGAGGUGAAGACGGGUUGCUGGGCCGACACGUGACGCUGAGGCGCGAAAGCCAGGGGAGCAAACGGG
rnacentral:rRNA from 1 species